AACCACCACCUUGGAUUUCAGACCGAGGAAAGGAAGCAAAAGCAAAGGUGUGGUUACACAGGACUUCCACAGACAAACCGUUGCCUCUCCUAAGGGGACCCGCGCUUGGCGGCCGCAGAAGCGCGAGGCGCUGUGGGUGUGGGCGCGGGGGCGUGGGAGUCGACACUCUCCCCUCAGCCGGGCCGCGCUCUCUGCGAUCCUCCCGAGUCCUGGCCAGCGGCCUCGGCUCGCCCCCUAACGCCCUCGCCAGGACCGCUGCGGUCGGGCCCAGGGCGCCCUGGGCUGGAGGCCGGAGCGGGACGGCCCCGCGGGACUCCGGAGCCUUGGUAAGGCAGAGGCUCCGACCCGGUUCACGAAAACGCCCGGCUCCUCCAGGAUUUUUCGUGUCUUAAGCAGCUCUGAGAAGGCUCCGCUGGCGCUUGGGGAACCCCGCUGUGCGGCUCCUCCCGUUUGUCUCUCUCAAGCUCUCGCCUUCCUCCCCUGGUCCUCCCUCCACAUCCCCUGCCCUGCCGGAGUCCCGGGCCGCGCUGGCUGAGCCCAACGUACCCGAAGAAGAGCGCCGGAGCCCCCUGCUGGCCGGACGCGGCAGGCGCCGCGGCCCGCUCGGUCCCCUCCGGCCCGCGGGCGCUGCCCAGCCCGGACCCGCCUCCACCCUCCAGCGCCCCAGCGCAGGGGGCGUGCUAAAAGCAACAGAAAACAAAACAAAAACAAACAAAGCGCCAAACCCCACUCUCACCUCGUCUACUGGUCAAAGGGCAUUCUUAAGUGACACUGGCUCCCCGCUCUCCGUGGACGUGCCUGGGAGAAUGCAGCCACUACUAGUACGGUUCAGAGCAACAGCCUCAAUUUGUUCAUGCGAAUGUGUUUCCUUGCAUCGCUGCUGCACAACAGUAUUCUCACUCUGUUGCCCCGGCUGGAGUACAGUGGCUCCAUCUCAGCUCACUGCAACCUCUGCCUCCUAAGUUCAAGUGAUUCUCCUGCCUCAACCUCCCAAGUAGCUGGGAGUACAGGUGCCUACCACCAUGGCCAGCUAAUUUUUGUAUUAGUACUGGAGAUGGGAUUUCACCAUAUUGGUCAGCCCGGUCUCAAACUCCUGAUCUCAAGUGGUCUGCCUACCUCAGCCUCCCAAAGUGCUGGGAUUACAGGCAUAAGCCACCAUGCCCGGCCCUCUUUUACCGACUUUUCAUCCAGCAGAUAUUCAGCAAUGUUAACUCUACAGGGCUCUGUUAGUCUUUCAAUGACUGUAUGUGUGUCUUCAUCCAGUAUGAAAUAUAACUUAAUCUGUAA